CUUGGUCAUUUAGAGGAAGUAAAAGUCGUAACAAGGUUUCCGUAGGUGAACCUGCGGAAGGAUCAUUACCUAGAGUUUGUAGACUUCGGUCUGCUACCUCUUACCCAUGUCUUUUGAGUACCUUCGUUUCCUCGGCGGGUCCGCCCGCCGAUUGGACGACAUUCAAACCCUUUGCAGUUGCAAUCAGCGUCUGAAAAAACAUAAUAGUUACAACUUUCAACAACGGAUCUCUUGGUUCUGGCAUCGAUGAAGAACGCAGCGAAAUGCGAUAAGUAGUGUGAAUUGCAGAAUUCAGUGAAUCAUCGAAUCUUUGAACGCACAUUGCGCCCCUUGGUAUUCCAUGGGGCAUGCCUGUUCGAGCGUCAUUUGUACCUUCAAGCUCUGCUUGGUGUUGGGUGUUUGUCUCGCCUCUGCGUGUAGACUCGCCUUAAAACAAUUGGCAGCCGGCGUAUUGAUUUCGGAGCGCAGUACAUCUCGCGCUUUGCACUCACAACGACGACGUCCAAAAGUACAUUUUUACACUCUUGACCUCGGAUCAGGUAGGGAUACCCGCUGAACUUAAGCAUAUCAAUAAGCGGAGGAAAAGAAACCAACAGGGAUUGCCCUAGUAACGGCGAGUGAAGCGGCAACAGCUCAAAUUUGAAAUCUGGCGUCUUUGGCGUCCGAGUUGUAAUUUGCAGAGGGCGCUUUGGCAUUGGCAGCGGUCCAAGUUCCUUGGAACAGGACGUCACAGAGGGUGAGAAUCCCGUACGUGGUCGCUAGCCUUUACCGUGUAAAGCCCCUUCGACGAGUCGAGUUGUUUGGGAAU
rnacentral:sRNA from 1 species